rnacentral:rRNA from 1 species
AUUGAACGCUGGCGGCAGGCCUAACACAUGCAAGUCGAGCGAGCGGCGGACGGGUGAGUAAUGUCUGGGAAACUGCCUGAUGGAGGGGGAUAACUACUGGAACCGGUAGCUAAUACCGCAUACCAUCAGAUGUGCCCAGAUGGGAUUAGCUAGUAGGUGGGGUAAUGGCUCACCUAGGCGACGAUCCCUAGCUGGUCUGAGAGGAUGACCAGCCAGACUGUAACGGUGACACGGUCCAGACUCCUACGGGAGGUAGCAGGGGGGAAUGUUGCACAAUGGGCGCAAGCCUGAUGCAGCGAUGCCGCGUGUAGGAUGAAGGCCUUCGGGUUGUAAAGUACUUUCAGCGAGAAGGCGUUACUCGCACAAGAAGCACCGGCUAACUCCGUGCCAGCAGCCGCGGUAAUAC